CCUACGGGAGGCUGCAGUGAGGAAUAUUGGUCAAUGGACGAGAGUCUGAACCAGCCAAGUAGCGUGAAGGAUGACUGCCCUAUGGGUUGUAAACUUCUUUUAUAUGGGAAUAAAAUGUUCCACGUGUGGGAUUUUGUAUGUACCAUAUGAAUAAGGAUCGGCUAACUCCGUGCCAGCAGCCGCGGUAAUACGGAGGAUCCGAGCGUUAUCCGGAUUUAUUGGGUUUAAAGGGAGCGUAGGUGGAUUGUUAAGUCAGUUGUGAAAGUUUGCGGCUCAACCGUAAAAUUGCAGUUGAAACUGGCAGUCUAGAGUACAGUAGAGGUGGGCGGAAUUCGUGGUGUAGCGGUGAAAUGCUUAGAUAUCACGAAGAACACUGAUUGCGAAGGCAGCUCACUGGACUGCAACUGACACUGAGGCUCGAAAGUGUGGGUAUCAAACAGGAUUAGAUACCCCGGUAGUC
rnacentral:rRNA from 1 species